CGAGGACAGUGUCAGGUGGGCAGUUUGACUGGGGCGGUCGCCUCCUAAAGAGUAACGGAGGCGCCCCAAGGUUCCCUCAGAAUGGUUGGAAAUCAUUCGAAGAGUGCAAAGGCAGAAGGGAGCUUGACUGCGAGACCUACAAGUCGAGCAGGGACGAAAGUCGGGCUUAGUGAUCCGGUGGUACCGCAUGGAAGGGCCAUCGCUCAACGGAUAAAAGCUACCCUGGGGAUAACAGGCUUAUCUCCCCCAAGAGUCCACAUCGACGGGGAGGUUUGGCACCUCGAUGUCGGCUCAUCGCAUCCUGGGGCUGAAGUAGGUCCCAAGGGUUGGGCUGUUCGCCCAUUAAAGCGGUACGCGAGCUGGGUUCAGAACGUCGUGAGACAGUUCGGUCCCUAUCUGUCGUGGGCGUAGGAAAUUUGAGAGGAGCUGUCCUUAGUACGAGAGGACCGGGAUGGACGUACCGCUGGUGUACCAGUUGUUCCGCCAGGAGCACCGCUGGGUAGCUAUGUACGGAAGGGAUAAGCGCUGAAAGCAUCUAAGCGUGAAGCCCCCCUCAAGAUGAGAUUUCCCAGUAUGUAAGACCCCUUGAAGACGACGAGGUAGAUAGGUUGGGGGUGGAAGUGCAGUAAUGCAUGGAGCUGACCAAUACUAAUCGGUCGAGGGCUUAUCCUAA
rnacentral:rRNA from 2 species